AACGUAGGUGGCGAGCGUUAUCCGGAAUACUGGGCGUAAAGGCGUGUGCAGGCGGGCUAGCAAGUGGUGUAUGAAAGCUCCCGGCUCAACCGGGAAGGGUUAUGCCAGACUGCUAGUCUUGAGUGCGAGAGAGGAGCGUGGAAUUCCGGGUGUAGUGGUGAAAUGCGUAGAGAUCCGGAGGAACCCCAGAGGCGAAGGCGGCGCUCUGGCUCGCAACUGACGCUCAUGCACGAAAGCGUGGGGAGCAAACAGG
rnacentral:rRNA from 1 species